CUACGGGUCGCACCAGCUAGGAAACUUCUACAAUGCACGCAAGUGUGAUAGAGCAAGCCAGAGUGCUUUCCUAUUAUUGGAAAGCUUUUGUGCGAUGUAAAAAGUCGCAAGAAUAAGGACUGGGAAAGACUGGUGCCAGCCGCCGCGGUAAUACCAGCGGUUCAAGUGGCAGCCACUUUUAUUGGGUCUAAAACAUCCGUAGCUUGCUAAGUCAGUCUCUUGUGAAAUCUGGCAUCUCAAGUGUCGGGCGCGCAAAAGAUACUGCUUAGCUAGAGACCGGGAGACGUAAGGAGUACGCAUAGGGUAACGGUCAAAUGUGUUGAUCCUAUGUGGACUAACGAUAGCGAAGGCACCUUACGAGAACGGAUCUGACAGUGAGGGAUGAAGGCUAGGGGCGCAAAACGGAUUAGAUACCCGCGUAGUC
rnacentral:rRNA from 1 species